rnacentral:rRNA from 1 species
GAUUAAGUUAUUAAGGGCGCACGGUGGAUGCCUUGGCACUAGAAGCCGAUGAAGGACGUUACUAACGACGAUAUGCUUUGGGGAGCUGUAAGUAAGCUUUGAUCCAGAGAUUUCCGAAUGGGGAAACCCAGCAUGAGUUAUGUCAUGUUAUCGAUAUGUGAAUACAUAGCAUAUCAGAAGGCACACCCGGAGAACUGAAACAUCUUAGUACCCGGAGGAAGAGAAAGAAAAUUCGAUUCCCUUAGUAGCGGCGAGCGAAACGGGAAGAGCCCAAACCAACAAGCUUGCUUGUUGGGGUUGUAGGACACUCUAUACGGAGUUACAAAGGACGACAUUAGACGAAUCAUCUGGAAAGAUGAAUCAAAGAAGGUAAUAAUCCUGUAGUCGAAAAUGUUGUCUCUCUUGAGUGGAUCCUGAGUACGACGGAGCACGUGAAAUUCCGUCGGAAUCUGGGAGGACCAUCUCCUAAGGCUAAAUACUCUCUAGUGACCGAUAGUGAACCAGUACCGUGA